GAGGUCGGUGUCCCGAGUGAUUGCAUGAAAAGAAGCCCGGAGGGGACAGGCAACGAGCCGGGAGCCAGCAGGAAAGCAAAGAAGGAAAGACCUCAUAGAGCAAAAGGCACUUCCACCUGAACCUUCAUAAGUGGUCCAGCAACUGAUAAGGAGAAGAGAUAGCAAAGCUGACAUCACCCAAGUCUUUCAGAGAAACAGUGACCUUCACAGCUGUACAUUCCUAGCCAAUGACUGAACCUUCUGGGAAAGACAAGGGUACAGAGGGAGACUUGUACCUUCACUGCGCACUCCACAGACUCAUUCUUUCUCUGCCCUCAGUGUACAGACAAUAUUUGCAAAGGUAACAUGGUAAAGAAAAUAUAUGAGAUAAAUAAAAUGCGCUUAUGAUGAAAGAUGAUUGAAAAACACUGUGACUGUCUUCUUAACUAUGAUUUAAACAAUGUAUGA